GACGAACGCUGGCGGCGUGCUUAACACAUGCAAGUCGAACGGAGUGGCGAACGGGGGAGUAACCCGUGGGUGACCUGCCCUGCACUUCGGGAUAAGCCUGGGAAACUGGGUCUAAUACCGGAUAGUGUGGGAUGGGCGCGGGGGCUACCAGCUUGUUGGUGGGGUAAGGGCCUACCAAGGCGGCGACGGGUAGCCGGCCUGAGAGGGUGGACGGGCACAUUGGGACUGAGAGACGGACCAGAAUGCUACGGGAGGCAGUAGUGGGGAAUAUUGCAGAAUGGGGGGAAGCCUGAUGAAGCGGCGCCGGGUGGGGGAUGACGGCCUGCGGGUUGUAAACUCCUUUCACCAUCGACGCGGUAGAUGGAGAAGAAGCACCGGCUAACUACGUGCCAGCCGCCGCGGUAAUUC
rnacentral:rRNA from 1 species